AUGCUCUGUAACCCAAAGCUCCGGCGCCCUAGGAUGGGUCUGCGGCCGAUUAGGUUGUUGUCGGGGUAACGGCCCAACAAGCCGAUCAUCGGUACGGGUUGUGGGAGCAAGAGCCCGGAGAUGGAUUCUGAGACACGAAUCCAGGCCCUACGGGGCGCAGCAGGCGCGAAAACUUUACAAUGCGGGAAACCGUGAUAAGGGGACCCCGAGUGCCUGUACACGCAGGCUGUUCAGGUGUUUAAAACGCAUCUGGAGAAAGGGCCGGGCAAGACCGGUGCCAGCCGCCGCGGUAAUACCGGCGGCUCGAGUGGUGGCCACUAUUACUGGGCUUAAAGCGUCCGUAGCCGGGUCGUUAAGUCUCCCGGGAAAUCCAACGGCUUAACCGUUGGGCGUUCGGGGGAUACUGGCGAUCUAGGGAUCGGGGGAGGUGAGAGGUACUCUAGGGGUAGGAGUGAAAUCCUGUAAUCCUUGGGGGACCACCUGUGGCGAAGGCAUCUCACCAGAACGACUCCGACGGUGAGGGACGAAAGCUGGGGGAGCAAACCGGAUUAGAUACCCGGGUAGUCCCAGCUGUAAACGAUGCGCGUUAGGUGUAUCGGUGACUACGAGUUACCGAGGUGCCGAAGGGAAACCGUGA
rnacentral:rRNA from 1 species